ensembl:lncRNA
CUCUCUCGGAGGGGCAGCAGAGCUGCUGGGGGGGUGUCUGCACUGAGUGGGCGUGGGAAAGCCGGCAUUGCCAUUGCCCCGCUGGGCAUUUUCUGCCUUUUCCAGAAGAGACACCCAGCACCCACAGACUUGACAACGAUGAUGUGGAAAUGGACCGUUUGCUCACCUGGAUUGACGGUGAGACUGUGCUCCGCAGAGGUGACCCCCAGAGGUGGCUGCCUGCACCGAGUGGCUGUGGGAAGGCUGCCAUCAUCGUUCGGGGGGAUGUUCUUGCUUUUUCAGAAGCAGCUCUGGAGAGUGCUCUGGAGGUCCCCCAGCACAAGCAGGACCUGCCCGGUGUCACAAGAGAGGGGACCAAAGCCAUUGCAAACAGCUGCCAAACGCAAGAGCUGAUGCAGCGCAUCACUGCCACGGAGCCACUGAGCCCUGAUGUCUCCAGCAGCCUCGACUCCUCUUCUUCCAGCACAGAGCACUCGGACUCCUCCGGGGCCAGCAGGGAGCUGAGCAAAGAGACACAUCCUGAAUCAGGGCUCCUCAGCAACUCGCUCUGCUGGCAGCCAGCAUCCCCUGAGCUGCCCGUGCCGACGCCCCUGGCUGCCCCUGCGCCUCCGUCGCCCCGCACUGCACAUCUGAUGGAAGAGGCGCGGCGGAGGCAGCCCCGGGUGGUUCUCACCCGCCUGGCACUGCCGACCCCCCUGGCUGCCCCCGCACCUCUGCUGCCCCGCACUGCACGUCUGAUCCAAGAGGUGCAGCGGAGGCAGCCCCGGGUGGUUCUCACCCGCCUGGCACUGCCACCCGGAUGCAUCUCCUGCCGGCUGGCAGACAUGCACCACGAGGACAGCACCGAGCCAGCCAAGUGCCCAGCGCCCGCCUGCACCACCACUAACAGCAAGAGCACCGGGCACGAGCAGCACACUGGCAGCGGCCCAGCCACAAAGAGGAAGCUGCCGCGCUGCCACGACGGCCCAGGCCACAAACACCGGCGCUAGGCCAAGCUGGCUGUGUCAGCACGGUGGGCGGGCAGCAGGAGGACUGUGCCCUGAUGGGGUGCCCAUCACAGCCCAACAGCGGCUCGAGCGGGAGCGCACCAAGAAACCGGCCCACUUGCUGGAGCAGGAGACGUGGCCAUAGCCGACCAAGACGGCUCCCUGGAGCCCUGGGCUCCUCGCUGGCCCCCACCAUGCCCAGACAGCAGCGGCAGUGUUCCGGGGGCACCAGCACCGGCCCCAGCCCUACCCCUCCAAAACUGGGCUGUCCACAAACGGCAUCUUGGGCUGGGGCAAUGCGGGACUCUGAAGCUGAUGGACCGCCAAAGGCUUGGACUGUCAAAGCUUUGGGCUGGGCAACGUUGGCUGGGGGGUGGGAAGAGGGCGGGGGGUGGGAAAUAGUGGUGUGGGGAUGGCUGCGGGGUGGAAAAUGGGUGGGGGGAGGGAACUUGGGGUGGGAAUUCUUGGGGCACUGGGAUCUUUUUGGGGUUGGAAAUGAAAUGGCUGUACUGUGAUGUUGUUGGGGUGGGAAUUUGGGGGGUGGGGAACUGCUGGGAUCAGAAAUGGCUGCCGUGGGAGAUGGUUGGCAUCAAAAACGAUUGGACAUUCUGUAACUGCUGGCAUUGAAGAUGGGGGGAGGGGGAGGGAAUUCUGUGGGGUGGCAAUUCUGGGGGAGAAAUUGUACUCUGAUCACGUUACACUCCCAAGUUGUUGGAAUUUGGAAGAAGGAAUUGUUGGGGUGGGAAUGUGGGGGGCUGGGAGGUAUUUUGCAGAGGGAGGGAACUAUUGGUGGGAGGGAGCGGGGGGGCGGAGGAGGGUGGGUGUUGAGAAAUUGAUUGCGGGGUGGGAGCUGGGGGGUGGGAAAUUGAUUAGAGGGUGGGAAUUUUAGGGGGUGGGAUCAGAAACAAUUGUUAGGGUGGGAAAAGGUUGGGAAUAUCAUCAUGUAUUUGCUGUUUUGUACGUUAAAUUAUUAAACAUUUGGCGUUCGCUUUCCUACACCUCUGCCUGCAGUCAUUUGUGCAGCACCAAAGCCCCCCCCCAGGCUCCCCCGUGCCCACCUCCGGGGAUGCUGGGGUGGCUGCAGCGAGCCAAGAGCUCCUCCACUCUCAACAUCUCCAUCACCAUCGCUGCUGUCAACGUCUCUGUUGCCUUGUGCUGUUCCUGGGGAAGGAGAUGGUCACACACUGAGCAGUGGGUGUGUUGAGCUGGGGGCACUGGGCAAAAAAGGGGUGGAGCCUGGCUCCAGCUUUCCCCACCCUCAUUUAAGCGCUGGCUGUCUAAGGGGAAGAAUCUCUACUGGCAGAUCUGCUAUGUGCUCAUACUUUCUGAGUCCUGUUCUUCAGAAAGGGCUCUUUGUUUACUAGCUUGAGUCCUUCCCCAUUCUUAGGAAAAUUCAAACACAGGAAAGCAGCUGGAUCAGCUACUGCCUUUCACUACAGUUACCAUUUUAGCUUAUGGAUCAAGGUUGAACUGUACAGAGGGAGUGCAGCCACAAGGCUCUGGCUGUGCCGGGCCUCCCACCAGCCCGGGCCCCAAAGCAGCCCCAACUGUGCCUGGUCCUCCUCCAUCCUGGGCCCCAAAGCAGCCCCAACUGUGCCUGGUCCUCCUCCAUCCUGGGCCCCAAGGCCCGGGCUGUGCCAGGGCUCCCUUUGGUCUGAGCCAAGAGCAGGCCUCAACUCUGCCCGACCGCCCUCCAUCCUCGGCCCCAAAGCAGCCCCAUGUGUGCCUGGUCCUCCUCCAGCCCGGGCCCCAAAGCAGCCCCAACUGUUUCUGGUCCUCCUCCAUCCUGGGCCCCAACACAGCCCCAACUGUGCCUGGUCCUCCUCCAUCCUGGUCCUCAAGGCCCUGGCUGUGCCUAGGCCCCCUUUGGUCUGGGCCCAGACGAGGUCUCAACUGUGAUAGGCCCCCCUCCAGCUCUGACCCCAAAGCAGCCCCUACUGUGCCAGGCCCCUCUCAGGCCUAGGCCUUAAAGCAGCCCCACCUGUGCCUGGGUCCUCCUCCAUCCUGGGCCCCGAGGCUCUACCUGUGCCUGGGCCCCCUUCC